CCUACGGGUGGCAGCAGUGGGGAAUAUUGGACAAUGGGGGCAACCCUGAUCCAGCCAUGCCGCGUGUGUGAAGAAGGCCCUCGGGUUGUAAAGCACUUUCAGUGAGGAAGAACGCCUGGUGGUUAAUACCCAUCAGGAAAGACAUCACUCACAGAAGAAGCACCGGCUAACUCCGUGCCAGCAGCCGCGGUAAUACGGAGGGUGCGAGCGUUAAUCGGAAUUACUGGGCGUAAAGCGCGCGUAGGUGGUUUGAUAAGCCGGUUGUGAAAGCCCCGGGCUCAACCUGGGAACGGCAUCCGGAACUGUCAAGCUAGAGUGCAGGAGAGGAAGGUAGAAUUCCCGGUGUAGCGGUGAAAUGCGUAGAGAUCGGGAGGAAUACCAGUGGCGAAGGCGGCCUUCUGGACUGACACUGACACUGAGGUGCGAAAGCGUGGGUAGCAAACAGGAUUAGAUACCCCGGUAGUC
rnacentral:rRNA from 1 species